rnacentral:rRNA from 1 species
GUGGGGAAUAUUGGACAAUGGGCGAAAGCCUGAUCCAGCCAUGCCGCGUGUGUGAAGAAGGUCUUCGGAUUGUAAAGCACUUUAAGUUGGGAGGAAGGGCAGUAAGUUAAUACCUUGCUGUUCUGACGUUACCGACAGAAUAAGCACCGGCUAACUUCGUGCCAGCAGCCGCGGUAAUACGAAGGGUGCAAGCGUUAAUCGGAAUUACUGGGCGUAAAGCGCGCGUAGGUGGUUUUGUAAGUUGGAGGUGAAAUCCCCGGGCUCAACCUGGGAACUGCCUCCAAAACUGCAUGACUAGAGUACGGUAGAGGGUAGUGGAAUUUCCUGUGUAGCGGUGAAAUGCGUAGAUAUAGGAAGGAACACCAGUGGCGAAGGCGACUACCUGGACUGAUACUGACACUGAGGUGCGAAAGCGUGGGGAGCAAACAGGAUUAGAAACCCGGGUAGUCC